AUACGGAGGAUCCGAGCGUUAUCCGGAUUUAUUGGGUUUAAAGGGUGCGCAGGCGGCCAUUUAAGUCAGCGGUUAAAUCGUGGGGCUCAACCCCAUUCUGCCGUUGAUACUGGGUGGCUUGAUUGCGGUCGAGGUUGGCGGAAUUCGUUGUGUAGCGGUGAAAUGCAUAGAUAUGACGAAGAACACCGAUUGCGUAGGCAGCUGACCAUACCGCAAAUGACGCGCAUGCACGAAAGUACGGGGAUCGAAAAGGUUUAGAUACCCUGGUAGUCCACGCCAUAAACGAUGAGCACUAGAUGUUGGGACAGCGAUGUCUCGGUAUCGUAGUUAACGCAAUAAGUGCUCCGCCUGGGGAGUACGCGCGCAAGCGUAAAACUCAAAUGAAUUGGCGGGG
rnacentral:rRNA from 1 species